GCGCCCCUCCCCCAGCCUCGCUGCGGACUUGCUGUUUGAUCUCAGACUGCUGUGCUAGCAAUCAGCGAGACUCUGUGGCCGUAGGACCCUCUGAGCCAGGUGCGGGCUAUACUCUCCUGGGGCACGGUUUCCUAAGCCCGUCGGAAAAACACAGUAUUCGGGUGGGAGUGGCCCGAUUUUCCAGGUGCCGUCUGUCACCCCUGGAAAGGGAACUCCCUGACCCGUUGUGCUUCCCGAGUGAGGCAAUGCCUCGCCCCUGCUUUGGCUGGCGCACGGUGCACUCACCCACUGACCUGCGCCCACUGUCUGGCACUCCCUAGUGAGAUGAACACGGUACCUGAGAUGGAAAUGCAGAAAUCACCCGUCUUCUGCGUCGCUCGCGCUGGGAGCUGUAGACCGGAGCUGUUCCUAUUCGGCCAUCUUGGCUCCUCCCUGAAUUACACAGAAAAAACAUGACAGGAAGAAGAAGAAAAGACCAUGUGAAGAUGAAAGCAGAAGGAGUUUUUCAGCCCCAAGCCAAGGAAUACCUAGAGUUCUCGGAAGCUAGAAAAGAAAGCCAUGGAACUCUAAAAUUAAACCAGCUUCCUGACAACUCUGCCAAAUAAGGAAAAUUACAAUUGUUCUAUACACUAAGAUAACUCUAAAUAAUGACAAAAGAAAAUUCUGGCAGCCAGAUGCUUUAGGCACAUCACAAACAUCUUUGAAGAUCCAUCAGAAGCAAUCCUCUGGGAAUACUAAUUAUAUAAUUUCUUAGCCUUAGGCUUUAAACAUUUUAGACCUUUCAAUAAUUUCAGAAGUAGAAACAAGAAAUUUCUAUGACUACUGAAGACUGAAAUUAAGGAAAUGAUGCCCCUAUCUUAUUAUUAUGAAAUAGAGAAGGCCAAUCAUGAUGGUUCACACCUGUAACCCCAGCACCUUGGAAAGCUGAGGCAGGAGGAUCAUUUGUAGGUCAGGAGUUCAAGACCAGCCUGAGCAACAUAGUGAGACUCCCAUCUCUACAAAUAAAAAAAAAAAAAAAAAAAAAAAAAAUUAGCAGGGCAUGGUGGCACACACCUGUAGUCCUAGCUACCCAGAAAGGUCACAUGGGAGAAUGCUUGAGCGCAGAAGUUUGAGGCUACAGUGAGUUAUGAUUGCACCACUGCACUCCAGCUUGGGAGAGGAGAAAUCCAAAGAAUUUAGUCUGGGCUAUAGCCAAAGAAAAUCCCAGAAUCAAAACUAAGACAAUGAUCUUUAAUAAGUCCACAUAGUCUAGGAGAGGGGUCAGGAUUUUUUUUUUCUUUUUUCUUUCUUUCUUUUUUUUUUUUUUGAUAAGAGCCAAAUAGUAAAUACUUUAGCCAUAGAGAGAUAUACACAGCCUCUAUCAAAUCUACUCCGUUCUGCUGUUGUGGCUUGUGAGCAGCCAGAGACAAUACUCAAAUAAAUGAAUGUGAUUGUACUCCAAUAAAACUUUAUUUACAAACACUAAAAUUUUAAUUUGAUAUAAAUAUUAUGUCUUGAAGUGUUUCUCAUUUUGAUAUUUUUAAAAAUUUGACAAAAUUUGGGAACCUAUCAGCCUAAGCCACAGAAAGAAAAACAGGUUGUAGGCAGAUAUGGCUGAUUCAUGCUACUUCACAAUAAAAUACAUACUCUUAUCUUCAAUUUAGCAUUCUCAGCAUUAUAAAUGCAUUAUUGCUAUGGUUUACAUGUUCAUGUCCUCUCCAAAAUUCAUGUUGAAACUUUAUCCCCAAUGAACAGUAUUAAGAGGUAGGGCCUUUAGGAGGUGAUUAGGUCAUAGGGCUCCACUCUCAUAAUUGGGAUUAGUGUUAUAAAUGGAUAGAGGGAACUAGCCAGGCCCAUUUGCUCUUCUGUGCCUUCCACCAAGUCAGGUCACAGUGUUUGUCUGAUCCUCAGGAUGCAACAAGGCACCAUCUUGGAAGCAGAGACUGGGUCCUCACUGGACACUAACUUGCAGGGAUCUUGAUCUUGGACUCCUACUCUCCAGAACUAAUAGAUUAUUGUUCUUUAAAAAGCCAAUCUCAGGUAUUUUUUUAGACUAAAACAAAUAUACAUUUCUAGUUUUAUCAUCAGCUUGUGCCCAGAGGGAAAGAGUUAAGCUGCUGACACUGUAGCUGGCCUUGUAAGCCAGAGAAUGUAGCUGCAGGUAUAGGGGUAGCAGAGAGGAGCUGCAGAGCCAGAGCAGACAGCCGAGAUAAAGGCAGACAGUAUGAAAGAGGUGCGAUGACAGUGCUGCUGAAUAAAACUACAUUUCACCUGCCUACAGCCCCCCAAAGUGUUCUUUCAGCUAUCUGCCCAUCCACCCACUCCCCUCAGACCUCAGCUAGGGUUGAAUCUGACCCUGAGAGAGACAUUUGGUGUAGUCAUGAACCUGACAAUUGGCGACGUCUGCAGUAUGAAGUGAGUGGAUUUUCAGAACCCAAGGCUUUCGUGUCUGCUAUGUGGCCACAGCAUGAGCUGUGGUACGUGGUGACAGCUGUGCUGUGAGGAUGGGCCCCAAUCAAAACUUGAAAGGCAAUGGAUGUGUCUCUUGCAAGUGUGGAGACAGCGCUGACGUACCUGGAAGUGCACAGCACCGAGAAGGAAGCAUGCCUUUGCUGGCAGAGUCAGAUGGGUGUUUGUGACUAUGCUGGGGGAGGUGCAUGCCCAGUCCCUGCAGAACGCGGCACAGAGAGGAGGAAGAACCUCUCUUGCAGGCUCACCCCCUGGUCCUUCAGAAAAUAGAACAUGAGCAGCUGUUGGGCCCCAAGGGUGGGCCAGAGACCCCCUACUGUGGUGGAACACACUUCCUUUGGUGCCUGUGCCCUUGCUGAGUUGCAGGAGUUAAGCAAGUAAUGUAGGCAGUGUCUGGGGGAGCCCUCUGCCUGAAUACUCCCUCUCUGGAACGAAGGAGCUAACGCAUUUCCUGCCCUGCCUCCAAGAUUGGGAGAAGGACUUUGCUGCGCAGUGCGGUCCCGCCCAGGUGUUCCAGUUCACAGAUUACCUGCUGCAGUCAGAUGGAAGUGUAAAGCCUUUUCUGUUUGAUGAGAGAAAUGGCCCAGGUGCCUGACUUGGUGGGGCACCAGACAACCAAAGGCCGUCUGUGGAUUUGGCAAUCCAUUGGGCCCUGAGCCCAGAUAAGUUUCUGGGCAGAGCUGCAUUUAUUAACUGUUACGAAGACCGGUCAGUAAAAGUAAAAUCUGUAUCUUUGCAUCUUGGCAUCAGCUGCUUUGCUGUUCACUUAUGCACUGUGUCUGUCUCUCCCAUACCUGAAGACAUUCUGGGGGUGGAUGUUUUGCACAGCUUGGCAGCUGUGCUGUCUGUCAUGGACUUAAUGGACCACUUAACAACAGAACUGGAGGGUGCCACUGUUUGGUGGACUUGGCCAAUGCAUCCCUCUCAAUCGACAUUGCUCCAGAGAGCCAGGAACAGUUUGUCUUCAUAGGAGGGUGACAAUGGACUUUCACAGUGUUGCCACAGGGCUAUGUGUUUAGCCCCACCAUAUGUUGUAGCCUUGUUUAUGAUGUUAAAUCUGAUUCUCUGGAAGAUUUGGAAGCGGCAAUGCCCCCUUGCCUGGGAUUGGAUGGUAAGGCUGAGACAGCCUCUCCUGGCAGCCAAGCAUGCUACUCAGCAGGCACAAGCCCUAUGGGUAGUUAAUCAGAGGUGGCCAUUUAAGCUAGAUGUUCAUGCGACCACAAAUAUUUUUCAUUAGGGCCUAUAGCAGGACACAGAGCACCUGAGUAUGCCAAUGGGCUUUUAGUCCCAACGUUGUAUGGAAAGGAGCUGAGCUCUGGUAUUCCUUAGUAGAGAAGCAGUUAGUAAUAGCUGGAUGUGUGAGUUCAUGGAUAACAAAGCCCUGGACUGGGAACACAGUUAGUAACUGCAUAUACUGCUCUUGAGCUCAUAAGAGCAUGGAAGGAUGGGUUAUAGUCAUUGUGCGGAUGAUUUACCCGAUAGUGGGAGGGGUGCAUUCAUGGGUAAUGACCCCUCGGACUGGGAAAGCAGUUAGUAACCGCAUAUGCUGCUCUUUAGACUCAUAAGAGUAGGGCAGGAUGGAUUAUAGUCAUCAUGUGGAUGAUCUACUCAAUAGUGAGAUGGGUGUUUUCACGGGUAAUGACCCCCCAGAAUGGGAUGGCACAGACAUCUACUUUAGUGGAGCAGGGUGCCUACUUGAAGCAGUGGAGUACGCUUAGUACAAGUCCCUUAGCAGCAGAGUUGCAAGAGGUCUUGGGACCUGUAAUCCUAAUGCAAGGUAAGACCAUAGGGCAUAAGGCCUUGGAGCCUGAGGCACCCCUAGACCCUGAGCCUUCACUGUUUAGGGAAGUGUGUCCUUUUUUUACUAAUGGGGACCCACAUAGGUGGGUCUAGCUGAGGUGCUACUGUUGCCUGGGCUGUUGCAGUCCAACCUAGCACUGAUACUAUAUGGUUUGAAACCAGGUGUCGGCAAUGUAGCUAAUGAACUGAACUCAGGGCAAUGUGAAUAGUGAUCACCAAGGAGGUGACACCUGCUUGUGUACCCAGAUGCUUAUGAAUCAGGCCUGUGUGCCCAAAGCUUAUGUGUCAGGCUUAUGUGUCAAGCCUAUGUGUAUGUAUCAGGCCUGCAUGCCCAAAGCUUAUGUGUCAGACCUGUGUGCCCAAGCCUGUGUAUUGGGCCUGUGUGCCUGAAACUUAUGUCUCCCUUGGCAUAGGGGGUGGAAUGUAAGAUACGUGGAUGUACCUGGUCAAGGAAUAGGCCAAGGCGGACAUCCAGGCCAGAGUGACUCAGCAAGUUUAGGGUGCAGGCGCACACCUCCACAUGUUAUGUAACCUGUUUGUGUAAGCUCAUACUUGGCUUGGAGCCACUAUUGUUUGAAAAGGUGUAACUGCCCUGCUGAUGCUGUGCAUGGGCUCAACAUGGCAUGUGUGCUGGUGCCCAGAGAGACAGUAAUGCUAUUGACCCCUAUAAGGGAGAGCUGGUCACCUUGAAGGUGGGCG